AGAAAACUGUCUCUGCGUACGAGCUACUUGCCACUUCACGCUGAACCACUCGUGUUGUAUCGACGAUUUUGCUCCAGGUCGCAACUGACUAGCCGAACAAGCCUUUUUAUUUCUAGAAAUAAUCCCUACACAUAAAACUAUUUACAUCAUUUUGAGCAAGUAAACUACAUUUUUCGACGGGAUUGUUGACGGGCGUUUGUUUGAAAGCAUAUUUGACGGAUUAAUCAUGAAGACAGAGGCCACCCCUGGGCAUCUCGGUGAGGGUGUGAAGGUCAUCUUUGACCAGGAAGCUCCAUCCAGUCGUGGCUCCGCUCGCUCCCGCAGCAGCAGCAGCAGCAGUGACAGCUCAUAUUCAAGCAGCAGAGGAAGCCACUCGUCCCGUGGGUCAUCACGACACCGACGCAGAUCCCGCUCCUCCUCGUCCUCUGACAGUAGCUCUUCCUCUCGGUCUCGUUCCCGCUCUCAUCCACGCUGCCACAGGGCCUCAGGCCACUCGCGCUGUCACCACAGACACCAUUCUCCUCCACGCCAUUACCGUGCUCGCUCCCGCUCUUUUAGCCCAUCCCCUGAGCGUUCCUCCCGCACCAGACGCUACCAUCGUCACUCUCGCAGUCGCAGUCGCUCUCCAUCUCCCUACAGGUACUCCAGACGCUACAGGCGUUCUCCAUCCCGCUCUCGCACCCGCUCUCCCGUGUACUGGAGGGGUAGCAGGUUUGUGGGGAGGUACCGAUGCCGCUUUUCUACAUCACCCAGAAACUCCAGACCUCACAGAAGUCGGUCCCGAAGCCGUGAACGUGGUGCAAUCCGCCUCAGUCAAGAGGAAAAGAAGUAUCUAUUGAACAUUGCCAAAUCUAAUGCCACCAAGAUUCUGGGAGUACAGAACUUAGAGUUGCCAGCUAGCUUGAAGGAGCUGGAUGAGGAAGAGAAGAGGAGGUCUUCAUCCGUUAAAGAAGAAAUGGUGAGGACUGACCCAGUACCACAGAAGACACCAGCACAGGUGAGUUUCACACAGAACACACAAUUAAAGAUGUAUUAUGAGCACACACUCACCCAUCAUCAUUAUUCAGAACUUUUUCAGAAUGCUUGGCAUAUUUAUUAAACGUAGCUUGAAUGGAGUAAUCUCCUGCUUAUGUGAAAUUCUAAUUAAUUCUUUUAAGUGGGAAUUUGUUUGGAUUUAUUUUUUAUUUUGGUACGUUUACUUAUCAAAAUGUAAUUGCGCGAUGUACUUCCCCAACCUGGGUCACCAUGUAAUCUGUCUCCUCAGACAUGAAUGGUUUUGCCUGAUGGAUUUAAUGGAAUGAUGAACAGCUCAUGUCCGGAUUAGAGCUGAACUCCUCCACCCUUCGGACAAAGAGGGAGAGGGGGGAGGUCACAUGACUUGAAUGACACCAACUAUAAGUCUUAAAUGCACAACUGCAAAGGUUAAGUAAAUGCGUAUGAUGUCACCUGCAGCCUUGUGUUGAAAAACAGAUCAAAUGCACCAACUGCAUAUAAGGGCAAUUCUUCAAUUUAGGACAGUGGUUCUCAAACAGAUGGCCUCAACAAACUUCCAGGUGGGCCUGUAGAUGAUUUAAAAUAAGUUUAGUUAUAAUUUAUAAAUAUAUAACUUGCAAAAAAAUUAUAUAUAUAUAUAUAUAUAUAUAUAAUUUCUUAUAUAAAUUCAAUAAGUCCCUUUAACAACAGUUUUUGUUGAACAGUUCUUAGAACCUCUGGAAUCAGAACAUUAAUAGUAAUUCAUUUUAUCCAUUGAUCCAUUUAUCCAUUGAUGUUUCCUAGUUUCUAUUAAUUACAUUUGAAAACAAGAAGCUUUGUCAUUACAGCAGGAUUCCAGAGGAAAUGCUGUAUUGUUGAGAACCAUUGAUUUAGGAAACAUUUCUGUUUCCUAGGGUGACUUGAACUAUUUUCUUUUUUUUUUU